rnacentral:rRNA from 1 species
AGAAUCAACGCUGGCGGCGUGCCUAACACAUGCAAGUCGAACGCGAAAGUCCCGCAAGGGAUAAGUAGAGUGGCAAACGGGUGAGUAACGCGUGGGCGACCUACCUUCGAGUGGGGGAUAACCUCCCGAAAGGAGGGCUAAUACCGCAUGACGUCCCGUGUUUAGAUACACGGACAUCAAAGCCGGGGAUCGCAAGACCUGGCGCUUGAAGAGGGGCCUGCGUCCGAUUAGCUAGUUGGUGAGGUAACGCUCACCAAGGCUUCGAUCGGUA